AUACGUAGGGAGCGAGCGUUGUCCGGAAUUACUGGGCGUAAAGGGCGCGUAGGCGGCGCUUCAAGUCGUCUGUCAAAUGGGAGGGCUUAACCCUUUUUCGCAGACGAAACUGGAGAGCUUGAGAAGCAGAGAGGCAAACAGAAUUCCUGGUGUAGCGGUGAAAUGCGUAGAUAUCAGGAAGAAUACCAGUGGCGAAGGCGGUUUGCUGGCUGCAUACUGACGCUGAAGCGCGAAAGCCAGGGGAGCAAACGGGAUUAGAUACCCCGGUAGUCCUGGCAGUAAACGAUGUAUGCUGGGUGUGAGACUAGCGAUAGUUUCGUGCCAAAGUUAACGCGAUAAGCAUACCGCCUGGGGAGUACGGUCGCAAGAUUGAAACUCAAAUGAAUUGACGGGG
rnacentral:rRNA from 1 species